AAAUUUGUUACGAAAUUAACACAGUCGAAAAUUGUGAUCCAUGAUCAAAUAUUUGCUAACAAGCACAUGUAACUAAUGUACUUUUACAUAUGUACGUUUGGGUGCCUUUUAUAUGUCUUUUUGUGUUUAAAGAAAAAAUAAUAAGAUUAUUAUUCAAAAAAUGCAAUCUAAUGCAAAAUCUGAACAGAAAGUGGGUCAAGUUGAGUACUAUCGGUUAAUUGAGUACUCGUCGUGUCGAUAAUGUAAGUUUUGAGGCAGAACGAUGUUUUAAGGAUACAUAUAUAUGCCUUGCUAAUCGUAUUCUUUUUGUAGUUGAAUCACAAGCGAUUUUUUGGACUUUAAGGCGGCGGAAUCUUGUCAGCAAUAUGAACUGCAUUGU